GGAUGAAGUUUUCGGAUGGAUUCCUGGUUGACUGAGUGGCGGACGGGUGAGUAACGCGUGGAUAACCUGCCUCACACUGGGGGAUAACAGUUAGAAAUGGCUGCUAAUACCGCAUAAGCGCACAGUACCGCAUGGUACGGUGUGAAAAACCCAGGUGGUGUGAGAUGGAUCCGCGUCUGAUUAGCCAGUUGGCGGGGUAACGGCCCACCAAAGCGACGAUCAGUAGCCGACCUGAGAGGGUGACCGGCCACAUUGGGACUGAGACACGGCCCAAACUCCUACGGGAGGCAGCAGUGGGGAAUAUUGCACAAUGGGCGCAAGCCUGAUGCAGCGACGCCGCGUGAGUGAAGAAGUAUCUCGGUAUGUAAAGCUCUAUCAGCAGGGAAGAAAAUGACGGUACCUGACUAAGAAGCCCCGGCUAACUACGUGCCAGCAGCCGCGGUAAUACGUAGGGGGCAAGCGUUAUCCGGAUUUACUGGGUGUAAAGGGAGCGUAGACGGCGACGCAAGUCUGGAGUGAAAGCCCGGGGCCCAACCCCGGGACUGCUUUGGAAGCUGUGUUGCUGGAGUGCAGGAGAGGUAAGUGGAAUUCCUAGUGUAGCCGGUGAAAUGCGU
rnacentral:rRNA from 1 species